AAUGGGCGGAAGCCUGAACCAGCCAUGCCGCGUGCAGGAAGAAUGCCCUACGGGUUGUAAACUGCUUUUCCCCGGGAAGAAUAAGGCCCCUGCGGGGGUCGAUGCCGGUACCGGGGGAAUAAGGAUCGGCUAACUCCGUGCCAGCAGCCGCGGUAAUACGGAGGAUCCUAGCGUUAUCCGGAUUUACUGGGUUUAAAGGGUGCGUAGGCGGCCCGGUCAGUCAGCGGUGAAAGGCCCCUGCUUCACGGGGGAGCCGCCGUUGAUACUGCCGGGCUGGAGUCUUAGCGAGGCGGGCGGAAUGCGCGGUGUAGCGGUGAAAUGCAUAGAUAUCGCGCAGAACGCCGAUUGGGAAGCCAGCUCGCCAGCUGAGAACUGACGCUGAGACGCGAAAGCGUGGGUAGCAAA
rnacentral:rRNA from 1 species